GAUGAACGCUGGCGGCGUGCCUAAUACAUGCAAGUCGAGCGAACGGACGAGAAGCUUGCUUCUCUGAUGUUAGCGGCGGACGGGUGAGUAACACGUGGAUAACCUACCUAUAAGACUGGGAUAACUUCGGGAAACCGGAGCUAAUACCGGAUAAUAUUUUGAACCGCAUGGUUCAAAAGUGAAAGACGGUUUUGCUGUCACUUAUAGAUGGAUCCGCGCUGCAUUAGCUAGUUGGUAAGGUAACGGCUUACCAAGGCAACGAUGCAUAGCCGACCUGAGAGGGUGAUCGGCCACACUGGAACUGAGACACGGUCCAGACUCCUACGGGAGGCAGCAGUAGGGAAUCUUCCGCAAUGGGCGAAAGCCUGACGGAGCAACGCCGCGUGAGUGAUGAAGGUCUUCGGAUCGUAAAACUCUGUUAUUAGGGAAGAACAUAUGUGUAAGUAACUGUGCACGUCUUGACGGUACCUAAUCAGAAAGCCACGGCUAACUACGUG
rnacentral:rRNA from 1 species